GUCGUCAAAUACCGUAUUUGACGACUCCCUGUUCAAAACGCAUUCAAAACAACAGCAUGCACGUUUGGUUUACGUCAAGAGUCAGUCCAAUGAAAAAUAUUGGGUUUGUUGUAUCGUGUUCCUUAUCUGAUGAGUUCGGAGGAGGAUAAAUUUGGUGCUCUUCGAGAGGCUGCUACGAAGCUUCUAGCCUGCCAGAUCCACCAGCUCCCCUGUCGCGAAGGAGACAGAGGCUUUCAUAUUUGGACUCAGGGAGUGAUUGUCCAAAUUGUCGACAAUGGAAAUCAAGUGACGAUUGAUGAUGGCACUGGGCUGGUGAUUAUAAUGGGACUUCAUGCUCUGAUUACGGGCGAGUCCUGGCUAGAGCUAGGUAAAUACGUCAUGAUCACGGGACACGUGAUGCACGCUCCAAGUACAGAAGGUGAUGCAGCAUCGGUGAUGACAACGAAGAUCGCCGACCUGUCCGCGGACGCCAACUGCGAAGUACUCUGGUGGCUUGAGGUGAUGGACAUACAGCUGCGGCUGGGAGACGCUUCUGCAGACUACUAGCAUGCUAAGUGCUGGCUAGCAGCUUCUGUACAAUGCUGUGUUACUGUGAGUGCACCACUGGUACAGCCAUCUACCUGCAUACUACAUGUAGUGUGCAGCGCUGCUCAAUGAAAUCCGAUAUUGUGAGCCCAGUACGUGCCGGGUGCUGUGCAGCCCUAGGCCCUACCUGCAAACAAUGGGAUGUGAAGUGGUGCAGGGUGCAAACUCGACUCACACGAUUGGAUUCCAUUGGGCAGCACUGUACACGCAGCGUACGUCCCGUAGCGCUCUGGAUCGCAUAUUCGUUUAAAAUAGGAGAUGUAGUGUCUACAAUUUGAAGCUGGGCAUGUUGUUGUGUGAUUAUUCAGUGGUGUGAUAUGUGGCCAGUGCCCCAUGUAUUAAUUGUAUAUGCACAGUACAUUUGUGUGUGUGUGCCACCGGUGACCCGAACAUGUUUGCACAUCCAUAGACCUAUACUCACAGUCACUGUAUAGUUAAACUGUUUUCACUAGCGCAGACCUCUUUGGCAAGUCGUGGCUUUUAUUUGCCUUUAUCAGCGCAUGCCGACCAUGUUGACCGUUGGCCAUUCACUGAAAUCUUUUCUUCUUCUUUCUGUGACGUCUUGUGUACAUGGCGUCAGUAUGAUGUGUGCUCACUGCUUAUAGCUACACGUUCCCUACAACAUUACCAAAUAAGAAGAUCUUUAUUGUACUUUUGCUUGUACAGUUCAUUCUCUCAUAUCAUCGAGUUCCUAGUGACUAUAGUUACGCUUUUGAAUACCGUAAUCAUCACCACGAGCUUUA